CCCUAUCCAAAUCCCAAUGAUAUUUCUAUCAUCGUGUCUUUCCAUUUUCUCCAACUUCAACUACAAGAAUGCAAUGUAUGCACACUAACCGAAGUUAGCUCAUUGAGUAUUUUAAUCAAGGUUUCCACUAAUUUUAAUUUCAACAAUUAUCACUUAAGUUAGUCAUCUCAGCUCCAAUGCAUCAAAAUCAUGUCAAGUCCAAUAGACGAGCUCAAGAAGCUAACUUAGUAUCCAAGAUCAAUGUGCAAAACCUUAAUUUCAAAAUUAUGUAUUUUCCAAAUCAAUAUAACAACUAACGUAUGUAUUUUCCAUUAAAUACAAUAAUCAAGUUAUAUAUUUUGAAAUCAAGACAAUAAUCAACUUAAUAAUAAUUUCCCAUAUCAAUACAACAAACACACACAUAUACAUAUAUAUAUAUAUAUAUAUAUAUAUAUUCUAUUUCAAUACAACUAUACAACAAUCAAUAACAUAACCAUUACAAUUGAGAUAUUUCUAAAUUACAACCUUAUCACAAACGUUCAGCACAUAAAACAAUUAUUAAUUUAUCACAAUACUCACAUGCAUACAAACAUGAUUAUUUAACCACCUUUCAUGAUGAUGUAAUACCAUAAGCGAGUACCUCGCGUUAUGUUAUACACAAAAAUGAAUUCAUAUACAUAUAUUUCCAGCACAAUCAAAUAUCUAAGAUUCUAUACAUUGUCAUGAAAAAGAUUAAGGACUCUUACCUGGAAACAAGUUUCCAUGGGAGUUCCUAAUCUAUAAGACUCUCCGACUUUUGAGGGAAUCGGAGAGGAAAACUUCAAUGAAAUACUCUAAGACCACAAUGGUCUUCUCCCUCACCUGGGUUUAUGUAAGCUCCUUGUCCAACAAACAAACUGGCUCUUUCGCUGUCUCCUUCAGCUUUAAAAUCUCUUCUCAUACAUAUGUCAAUAACAUUCAAUAAACAAAUCAAAUUCUACUCUAGCUACAAGUAACAACUAAUCUAGUAUUUGUCAAUAACUUACGAAAAUAACAUGCAUAAUUACACUUGUAAAAAUACAAUAAAACCAAACAUAGUAAUUUAUUUAAAUAAUGUGUACAGUAUAUAUAUAUAUAUAUAUAUGUGUGUGUGUUUAUACUUUUAGAUUCACUAUAACAGUGUCGAGGUUUGUAACUCUAAGAUUACUACUUCUAGAAAAAUUUAACUCCUACAAGGUAAUAAUCUAUACUUUCCUAUCAUUUGAGAAAUAACUAAAAUAGUUUUAUAGAUUGCAACAGAACAACUAAUUUAGUUAAUAAAACACACAUAAACUUCAAUUCUAUUCUCAUUCAAGAUAUCAUAAACUUUGAAAACUAAAUCCACACUCAAAUAUAAAUGGGUUGAUACCAUAAAGCAACAUAACAAAGCACCUUAAGUUUUGUGCAGCAAAAUAUUUUAUUUUACACUAUGUUACUAAAGAACUAUUGGAAAAUAACAUAAGUGACUUAGUGAUGGAUUAUAGGAUUUCUUAUCACCAUGAUAUGGAAACUUGGCUACAAUCAAAAUUUGUUUUCUUUUUACAAGGCUACCCAUUAAUAUGAAUACAUAUAUCAGUAAAUAUGGAUUUUGUUUUUAACAUUAUACCAGAUAAGUUUUGAAACCCCAACAUAAAAAUCAAAUUCAGAUCUGAAUAUGAAGAUGGAAAAAGUAUUAUUUAAAGUAUAAUAAACAUGUGGCAUGCAUUGUUAAAAGAAUCAUCAAAUUAACAACUAAUAGGUCCAAAUAAGUGUGAUUUUUGGGAGCAGAAAAAGUAACUUUCUUAAAAUAAAGAUCAUACAACUAAGAAAUUCCAAGGAGAAAGGCAAAAUAAUUAGAGGUUAAAUAAAAUGCAAAGAAGAUAAAAUAUAGAACACUUAUGAUGAUAAGGGCUCCCAUACCUUCUUCCAACCACUAUCACCAUAAGCAAACAAGGAUGGAGAUGCUCUACACUAUUUUCUUAUGGCUAUAAGUAUUAGAAAUAAAUUAACAGUGAAGGCUAUAUUGAUGGCGUCACAGACUUGUGAGUGCUUUGAGGCUAGGAUUAGAAUCGACAAAGAUUAGGAUUAGAAAAGGGAGAUGGGGCUAGGGUUGCGUGUAGAAGAGAAAAACUACAAAGAUAAUUUUGUGGCUAAGAUAUAGUAAACUAGGUUUCAAAC
rnacentral:lncRNA from 1 species